rnacentral:rRNA from 1 species
AGCAACGCCGCGUGAGGGAUGAAGGCCUUCGGGUUGUAAACCUCUUUUCUUGGGGAAGAAUUCUGACGGUACCCAUGGAAUAAGCCUCGGCCAACUACGUGCCACCAGCCGCGGUAAUACAUAGGAGGCGAAAGUUAUUCGGAUUUAUUGGGCGUAAAGGGAGCGUAGGCGGUUCCUCAAGUCGGAUGUGAAAUCUUCCGACUCACUCCGGAGGGGCCAUUUGAUACUGGGGGACUUGAGAGCAGCACAGGGAAAUGGAAUCUCCCGUGUAGCGGUGAAAUGCGUAGAUAUUGGGGAGAACACCCCUGGCGAAAGCGAUUUUCCCGGCUGUUUCUGACACUCAGGCUCGAAAGCGUGGGGAGCGAAACGAUUAUAUACCCCGGUAUUCCACGCCCUAAACGGUGGACACUAUAUAUAGGAGGUAUCGAC